GAUGAACGCUAGCGGCAGGCUUAAUACAUGCAAGUCGAGGGGCAGCACGGGUAGCAAUAUCUGGUGGCGACCGGCAAACGGGUGCGGAACACGUACACAACCUUCCUUUAAGUGGGGGAUAGCCCAGAGAAAUUUGGAUUAAUACCCCGUAAGAUUAUUGAGUGGCAUCAUUUAAUAAUUAAAGCUCCGGCGCUUAGAGAUGGGUGUGCGGCUGAUUAGGUAGUCGGUAGGGUAACGGCCCACCAAGCCAACGAUCAGUAACUGGUGUGAGAGCACGACCAGUCACACGGGCACUGAGACACGGGCCCGACUCCUACGGGAGGCAGCAGUAAGGAAUAUUGGUCAAUGGACGCAAGUCUGAACCAGCCAUGCCGCGUGGA
rnacentral:rRNA from 1 species